ensembl:snoRNA
ACAUGGUAAUGAGAUUUUGGCGGGCCCUUCUCUGUGGGCUGCUCAGUGGACCUACGCCAGAGUAACUGGAGCCUCGAAACAUUGCCCAGCCCCUCACCUGUGGGCUGUGAGUACUGAAAGGGCUUGUACAGUG